UCUCACAUCACCCUCAGAGUCCCUCUCCCUCCUCUCUCCCUGAUUUUUCUCACACUCAUCUCUAUUCACCCUGAUCUCCAGCUCCACCCUCCCUCUGGGCCCCCUCUUCUCUUCCUAAAUCCCCCACAUCUCCAUUUUCUCUGGCAGAGCUUCUACUGUUCACGAUCACCCUCUAACUUCCAUUCUCCACCCACUCAAUCUCCACGCAAAUUCUCUCCAGCAAACAGUCGAGAGAUCCAAUGCCCCACGACACCACUGUCACCCUGCUCACGGCCUCCACUCUCCACGAUCUCCUAGCUCACUCUCAGGCUCUCUCGGACCACACUCUUCCAUUCCCACUAUGAGACUCUCCGAUCGCUCUCUGUCUCUCAGCCACUCACCUGCACCUCAUUCACUUUUGGGAUCUCUCCACUCUCUCUGAAUCUUUUUCCUCCAUCAGCCCCUCUUUGUCGCUGGCAGUAUCACUGUCAUUGUCACCAUCCCGGAUCCCAGCUCCGAUGUCAUAGCCUUCAUCAUUUUCAGCCACUAUUCAUUCAUCACCCACGCACCAUCCACCAUCUUCACCGUUCCCCUCGUUCUCUCUCUCUCUCAUCGUCCCCUUGCUCUUCCAUCUCUCUCGGUUCCCCACGUCAAGUUGAACCAGCAGAUCUGGACACUACCAGAGUCGUCAACCACCGUCGUCGUCACCACCUUUGGCAACCGCUAUCGUCAUCAUCACCACCAUCAUCGCCUCACUCCCUCUCUUGUCUUCAUCGCUCUCGUCCUACUCCUCGUUGGCCAUCACCAAUCCCAGCUUCAGCCAUUUGCUUCCCCCCAUGGCCACAAUCACCUAGGAGUUCAAUAAGGAACCUCUUCAGGGGGCAAGAUCGCUUGAAGGUGAGCCAACUAGGCGAGCGGAUUAGGCUCGCAGGUAGAGGGGAUGUUAAUCUGCCCUGUUAAGGAUGAAUAGUAUUUUUGGGUAGUAUAUUUGUAUGCCCUAACUUCAGUAGGGAAUAAUUUUGAGGAGAACAGUGAUAUAUGUAUAAUUUUUGGGAUAUUUAGAUGCUCUGGUAUUGUAAUUUAUAUGGUUAUAUUUAUGUAUGUGGCUUUCCGUUGUUUAGGUUAAUGUUUGAUAUUAAAAUAGGGGAAAAGAUUUUAUUUUAUUGUCAGGUCGUUACACCCCCAUCUUCUCCAGCCACCACCUUCCUUCUCCAGCCACAAUGCUACAACAACCAUCUCCACACAUAGCAGCCACUGAUGAGACGCCUGUUACCAUCUCCGGCCACCAUCCUUACUCUGGCAAGCCUCCCUGCGGCACCUUUGCUGGGAGUUUCAAGACACAACAACAACCACAGCCACCUUCACAUAGCCGCCACAGGAGUAGUUGCAGCCAUCUUCUUUGCCAGCCCAUCCUCCUUCAGCCACCAG